rnacentral:lncRNA from 1 species
AGUUCGUUCGUAUAUUUCGUUGUGUUCACUUCUGUUUCCGUGUACCUAAAAGAACCAUCCUUUUGGCCGAUUCACGUAAUAAUCCCAACUGUGCGGUACUGGAACAGUACCCCUUUUGGGAUUAUUCUACGUCUAUCGGUAUUACGUUUUUAUUAAAAUUAUAAUAGAUAAAUAUUAUUUGCGUUUCUCCAAGAGUUUUUUGACUCGACAAGAAUAUUUUUACACACGUCUCAAUAGACUACAACCAUCGUGUCAAUAAGGUAUAUUAUGAAUAAUCAAUAAUAAUUAAUAAAUAACUUUUAAUUUUACAACCUACAGACGGCUUGUUUUUCACCCUGAUAUGAUCUUUUACUUUUUGUCCAGCUAGAUAAACUAUAUAUUUUUCUAGUUUAGUAUUAAACUGUUUCCGCCCCCCCCCCCCCAAAAUGAAAUACAAUUUUUUUCAACUGUUGGUUCGUGAUAAAUAUUUUGGAAACCAUAUAUCAAUCAGAGAUCACCACAAGAAAUAAACAAAAAAUGUAUUGUUAUAGUAAAAAAAAAAAGCGGAAAUAUUUUGCUCGAUGUGAGGGCCACUGUUGUAGGUAAGAAGUUGGGAAUGUAGGAUAUAAGGGAGAAUUUAAUGUAGGUAUAUUUGUAAGCAAUGAUUAAUCUUUACAAACAAAAAACGAUCCCGAGCGGUGUUCAAUUAGACAUGUUUACAUUAAACUCAACUUUUUCUUGUUGACCACUAAUUAAAAAACUCCCGGAAAAUAAAAAAAAUAACCUCCCUAAAGUAUUACCCCAGGAAAAUUCCCUUUCAGAGAAGACGCUAUACUUAAUACUUCCUGGAAAAAUUUCUUGUAGAAUUUUCGUACACAGUAUUAAAAAAUUAAAAAACAAAAAAAAAAACAAAUCUUUGUAAAACCAAUACAUUCCUCGCUAUACUCAGAAUCUAAAAUUAGAAUCAAAAUAUUAAGUUAUCUUAUUUUUAAACACAAUAUUUUCUGGGUAGUAAUUGAGGACGAGGAGUUAAUUAACUCCUCGUGGUGCUCCCUGGGUAAUGCUAAACAACUUUAUAAAAAUAUUUUGAAUCAAUAUUACAAUGUACUUAAGAAAUAAUAUUGAAUAAAUAAGCGAAUGUCGAGGCAAAUAUCAAACACAAAUAAUGUUGAUAAAUGGUUUGCAAAAUGUUGAACAUAAAUCCACGGCCAUGAAACGAAUGACAUAAAAUUUGUGUGAAACAAAAAAGAUUGUUUGGUAGAAAAGUAACUUGCCGAAUAUCGAAAUCAACGUAAUUAUCGAUAUCUUUUAAAAUAUAAUUUAACUUUAUUAGAAAAUUACAAUAACCUUACAAUACGAUAUUGAAUUGAUUCGAAAAAAUAAUUAGUAUUUUUUUAAAAUUUGAUUGUGUAUUUUUAAAUCUAAACCCGAAAUGUGACAGUUUUAAAAUAAUAAAUAAUAUUAAUGAUUAAGUACCUAUUAUAUUAAUAUUUGUAUUUUGUUUUUAUUCCUAAAUAAAAGUCGAUAUCAAACACUAAAUUUUUGCUAUCAUCCAUCAUAAUACAUAGAAUUUAUAUCUACCGAACAUCAUAUUGGAUUUAGGUUGUUAGUUAUUUAUUUUUAAUAAUAAUAGUAAAUAAUUAAAAUAAACUUGAACUUUAAUUAAAUUUAUGUUCGUAUAUAAUUAACAAAUAGGCACUUGCAACUGUUUGUUCCACAUAAAAUUAUGUAUUUAUAUUAUUCUGAUUUCACUACCAUUAUAAGUUCUGAAAAUCCAGUAUUAUAAAAUAAAAUAAAAAUCGUUGUUUUUUAAGGUGUUAACGUUUUUAAUGUUUGUUUUCAUAUAACUUCUUAAAUCAUUGUUUCCUUAAAAAAAAAAUCAAAUAUUUUCAGAAUUAGUGAUGAAUAAUAAAACUUAAAAAAAAUAUUUAAAUAUUCGAGCGAAAAAUAAAAAUUAAAUUUUAAAUAUUGGGAAAGCGUUAAUAUCUUUUCAUAAAAACACUUGUACGAACAGAAUAUUUAUUUUUUUUAAUAGUAAUAACAGUUAUUUUUGUCUAACAUGACAGCUUAUAAUUUCUUAUUAUACAAAUAAAGUUCAUUAUGAUUUUAUGGUAGAUAUCUAAUAAGAAAACAAAAUUUAUAUUUUAUAGUACUAAUAAAAACAAUCAGAACAAUAUUAUUAGAGAAUAUCGUAAAAAAAAAAAAAUCACACUCGAUUAAUUAUUCUUUGAUCAUAAUUAGAAAGUAUUCAUAUAUUCUGUAAAAAAAUAAAUUAGACGCUUUUUUAAUAAACUCUUUAUACAAAUUUAUUUAGUCAAUUUUAAUAAUUUGAUGUUACCUACAUAAAUUAUUAAACAAAAAUACACCGGUCUGUUUAAAUGCAAAUUGUGUAAAAUAAUUAAUAUCAUAGCUAAAUUCAAAUUGUUAAAAUAUUAUUGUUGAAAUGGUAAUACAUUUUCAAAAAAAAAAAAACAAGUACAUAACAAAAUAUUAAUUAUUUUAAAAAAGAAUUUGUCUAUUUAAUUAAGUUUAUCAAUGAAAUUAAAGUUUGCAUGACCUAAUAUGAGUUGUAUUACAUAGAGAACCACAAUUUUUUUUAUUUCAGGAUUUUGACAAACAUCUUGAGUGUUGGGUGGUUCACCUAAUAGUUAUUUUCCAAAAAGAUCAGAUAACGUAAAUAAUGGCUAGAUAUUACAUACCAUCCUGCAGAUUGAGACCAAAAUUAUACAGGUCCUAAUGAUAUUCAAAAUAAUACAUAAAUAUAUAAUAUUAUUUAUUACGUAUUUUAAUUUAGUUUAUAAUAUUUAAAUAGUAUAAUUAUUAUAAUUUGUAUUGUUUAUUUUAUUUACCAGAUUUGAUCUCAGAGUAGCUGAUAGUAUAACAUUAACACGAGCAACAAAAUUUAUAUGGAAAUAGAAUGGGACUUUGCCAAUAUUCACAGGUCGUGUGUCUGAUAUACAAGUUUGAACGUCAUACGUGAUGGAUUUAAUAGUAUUUUAUAAUUAAAUGCACUGACAUUGAGUAUGCGAUUUAGAAUAAUGGAUUUUCAAAUCAAAACUGUCAAAUACAAUUGGGAUUCAUAUACACCCACUCAAUAAAAUAGAGGAAAUAUUAUAGUUUUAGCUUAUGGAGCUAUUCUAUAAAUUAACUGUUUUCACGAUUAAAAUUAACUAUUAUAAAUUAUGUGUUAUGCUGCGAAGGGAUAAAUCAGUGUUGAUUGAAGAAAUAUAGAAACCAAUAUUUAUAAUGUAUCUAAUAUUGUACCACUGUGAAAUGGUAUCUAUACAUUACCAACUAGUGAAACGGCUAUGCUAAUGUUGAGAUAUCUCAAUAAGAUGAAUGUAUUAUGAAUGCCGAUUAUAGUAUUAGUUCCCAUAAGCACAUUCAUUUUAAUAUACAAUUUAUCUCCUUUAUGGGACUUCCCAAAUGAUUGAUCUACUUUUCAAGAUUUCUCAUCUAUGGUCUAAAUCGCACAAGUUAUGGGCUUGCUCAACUGGUGCUGAAGUUUGGUUACAGUCUUACAGUAUAAUCAUAAGGGUUUUGCUAAAAACAAAAGACGUUUGAAAAGUAAAUUAUAUAAUUAUAACUCCAAUUUAGGGUGACCAUAUUUUCAAAAAAAAAAAAAAACAGAGUGAACGAUUUAGGUUUAUUCUUUAAAAAAAAAAGACCAAAAAACAUUUUUUUUUUCAUUUUUAUUUUAUUCUAACAAUUAAUAUUAUUUCUUAGUAGCCUAAUAUUUAAAUAAAUUAUUUAUUUAUAUUCCAUUUUAUUAUGAGUUUGAAAAAUAAUUUCAAGGAUUUUUUUAGAAUCAUAAUUUCUUUGAUAAUAUAGGUAGGUAUAAGAAAGACAUUUUUUCAUAUGGCCAUAACACAUUAGUUGUGAUAGAAAAUAUUAUCUGUAUUGCAUUAGUUCUAGACAUCGUCAAAGAAUAUUCUGCCAACAGUUAUUGUUAAAUAUACCUAAUUAAAUUUUUUAUUGAAAUUUUGAAGACAACACACUUUAUAUUAAACAUACAAAUACAAUUAUUUUGCAAAUCUUUUAAAUUGUAAAUAAUUGGUCAUUUAUUAUGUCAUUGGCAACAUCAUACAUAAAUAUACUAAUCGAAAAGGUUAUGAUGAUCCACAUUUUAAUAAAUUUCUGAUUCAUUUAUUUACAUAUGUUACUAUCUUAUAAAAAUGGAACGAAAGGCAUCCACUAGAAAUUCUUUAGAACAACAGCAUAUGAUGAUCGAAAUUAUGAUAACCUUAUUUCAAAUAGAACAUAUGGUCAUCCUACUCUACCAAAAUUUAGAAUAUCUAUUAUCGAUUAAAUAUUUUAAUGUGAUAAUAUGUUUUAGGACAAUGUUUUAGCUACCGAUGACAACAAAUAAUAUGUUCUACAGAACAUGAUGGACAUAUAAUUGGACAUAUGGUGUUGUUAUUGAGUUAUUAAAUUAAUGGAAUCAUGGAACCUCAACAAAUUACUUUUUCAACAGUAUGUAUUAAAAUAGUAAUCUUAUUAUUAUCCUAUCUUGGAAUUGUAAAAACAAUUUUUUAACAAAUUAAAAUACUUAGUUUAUAAAUUAUACAAACUUUUUAUUUUUUCAAUAUUAAUUUGUGAAAUCAUAUUAUAAAGAUCUAGUAGUUAUAUUAAGAAAAAAAAUAUUGAGAAAUUUGAACAGAACAAAAGUUGUUUCAAGUGUCAGAUCUUUGUGUUAUUGCCUAUUAUAAUUAUAAAUAUUAAUACCAUUUAACCCGGAAGUUGGGCAGAUUAGAGGACUGCAAGAAAUUUAAGACUAUUGUUUUAAAUAUUUUUUUUUUUUUAAUACUUCAUUUUUUCUUAUUUUAAUGUGAUAUGUUAAUGAUCAAUAGUUUUCCCUCCAAAGAUAACAGCAGUAUAAAAAAUAACAUUUUAUUUUUAUAUGUUUUUUUAGAACAGAACUUCAGACAAAUAUUCAAGAAACUUUAUCAAAAAAUGAUAUAAUGUACAAACAGUUUGAAGAAAAUUGCUAAAAGUUUUGAUUUUAUAAUUAGUAUUUUAAAACAAUUGUGAAAUAUUCCAGUCUCAUCCUUAUAAUAACUGCGACCAUUCUUUAAUUACUUGUUGUGCAAAUUCAUAAUUAGUGCGAUCUAGAUCCUAAGUGAAAAAUGCCUGUUAAGUAGACCAAGCAUUUGGAAAAUCCCAUGACUGAUAUAACUUGAAGAAGGAAGUCCAUGUUCCUAUAGAAACUAAAGCUAUAAUUAAUAUUGAUAAUAUUUUCAUUUCUUAGACAUUUCAAUACGGACACAGCCAUUUCUUUGGUCUCUGAGUUAUGCUUACCAGUCCACAGUGGUACAAUAUUAUUUACAUACAAAUAUUCAGUAUGCUCAUGAUUUCUAUAACCAUACACAUUUAUCUUGUCUCAGCAUGAUUUAUAUUUUAAUUGUGGAUUUUAAUAAUUUAAAAUUAAUGUUAAUAGCAUAGAUUAUAAUUCAUUAUCAUAAUGCUUCUUCUCUGGUUUUGAACAAUUGUGUUUUAUCUCCACGGUAUUCCAUGGCAUUGAUUUGAGAACCUAUCAUUUUAAACCAUUGUCUCAAUGUUAGUGCCAUUUGAGCAUAAAUUACUACUAUCGAAAUCAAAUAGUAUAAUGUUUUUUGUUAGUAUAUUGGGCGACUGGCCUGUAAAAAUUGGAAAAGUCCCGUUUUGUUUCCUGUUUAGAGUUUUAUUCUUGCGUACUAUUCCUCUAUGAUUAUCUAUAAUAUAUAUUAUAUUACUUUAAACUACAUAAUUUACAUUAGCUUUGUGUUAUUUUUAUCAUAUUAUAGUUUGUAUUGAGCUAUGUUUUAUUGUAUUAAUUUAUUAGUCAAUUUAGAUUUAGUAUUUCAUAUUAUCAUUUACGAUGUUAUUAGUUUAUAUUAUAUAAAUAUAUUUAUGUAUAACCAGAAUCAAAUAUACAAUAUAAAUUUAACUCUCACAUCUUUCAUGUAUUCAUAUACCUAUAUACUCCAUAUUUAGAUAGAGAUAAGCCUGUAUAUUUAGUAAUUGCAUUCAUGUUUCAAUUGUAUAGAAAUUCAUUUGAAAACAAAUUAUUUUUAUUUAAGAACAUUGUAUUGAUUUAUAUUGAUACCUAUAAUUUGUGUUAUAUUGAUCAUUAUUUUAAGCUACUAUGUGGUAAUUUACGCUUAAUAUAUUAAUAAUUGUCCGUUAUACAAAGUGUUAACUGUAUUUAAAUAAUUCAUUAACUAUGGCG